GCCCCAGCUCAGAAAUGACUGGGAUGACUGAAAUUCCUUUUGUGUGAGCUCCCAUACCUGCAAAAUCGAAAUUGGGGUGGGUGGUGGGAAGCAGAAAUCUAUUGUGAAAUGUGGGAUGCAAAAACAAAAGAUUUCAAUGAACACUCAUUUAAAUAAAAAAUUGGAGUAACACCUUGCCUUUUUCACAGGUUGCUCGUGGGUGUACCUGGACCUUUUCUGAAGUGAGCAAGGACCUUUUCACUCUAGUCUGGAGAAAGAAGAUUCUACAAUUACCUGCCACUCAACACCUGCUGGUAAGUUCUUUGUUUUGUCUCUUGAAAUUCUCUCUCUUCUGUUCUAGUUC
rnacentral:lncRNA from 1 species